UAGUCCACGCUGUAAACGAUGAGAACUAGCUGUUGGGUAUUAAUAUUUAGUGGCGCAGUUAACGCGAUAAGUUCUCCGCCUGGGGAGUACGGCCGCAAGGUUAAAACUCAAAUGAAUUGACGGGGGCCCGCACAAGCGGUGGAGCAUGUGGUUUAAUUCGAUGCAACGCGAAGAACCUUACCUACCCUUGACAUCCUGCGAAUCCUGUAGAGAUACGGGAGUGCCUUCGGGAAUGCAGAGACAGGUGCUGCAUGGCUGUCGUCAGCUCGUGUUGUGAAAUGUUGGGUUAAGUCCCGUAACGAGCGCAACCCUACUCUUAGUUGCCAGCGGUUCGGCCGGGAACUCUAAGGGGACUGCCGGUGAUAAACCGGAGGAAGGUGGGGACGACGUCAAGUCAUCAUGGCCUUUAUGUCCAGGGCUACACACGUGCUACAAUGGGCGGUACAAAGGGUUGCGAUGCCGCGAGGUGGAGCCAAUCCCAAAAAGCCGUCCUCAGUUCGGAUUGCAGUCUGCAACUCG
rnacentral:rRNA from 1 species